rnacentral:lncRNA from 1 species
CCUGUAUUCACCAAGACACCCUGCCCCUCUACUGUCUGCUUCAGAAGAUGCACUCUUAGCGCUUGUUGCAGUCGCGUCACUGCCUGCCGUGUCAUGCGCAGGGACGUACAUCUGGCCUCGGUGAACACCUGAAAUGUCCUGGGUACACUCAUGUUUAUUCACAUAUGGGGGCUAAAGCCAAGGGCUCAAAGCUUUUAUCAGCCUCCCAAAGGGAAACAGCUGUAGAAAACUGUGAGAUCCCUGCUCCUUCGAGUCUGAGCCUUCAUCAUACUCACCUGACAUACUCAGAGGGGUUCUUUCUGCUCCACCAGAGCUGUUCCAUAGACCACCUUGUCUAAGGCCAAGUGGACUGGAUUAGAUGAUCUCCCUGGAGCACCAAGUUUUCAGGACUUCCGUGGAGGACCAAGUCCCCAGAACCCCACUAUGGGGGCUCAGCCCUGCUACCUGCCCCGAGUCACUUGUGGGACUGACACUGACAAAGUCUGGUGAUUACACUGCACAGAGCCAUCACCACUCCAAUGGUCACACCCAUUCUUCUCCC